UGUUGCUGAUUAUUUAGCGUUAAGAGGUCAAACUAUGUCAACACUGUGGAUUAAAGAUGUAAAGACAAACGAGGACUCUGCCAAUGGACGGAAAAUGAGGAUGAUGGAGGCGGCACAGAGUGAACACAUAUGAGCAUGGCCACGGAGAGUGGUAGAGACAGUCUGCCCAGUUACCUGGUUGCUUCGGAGCCAAACUGGGACUUCCUCUGGCCGGGUCGCUUCCUGUCUGAACCCCCGGUGUUUGCUGCUCCGUGUCCUGGACGUCUUUCUCCUCUAAUUGAUCGAGCAGCUUGUCUAGGGUCGUCUCCAGUGUCUGUGUGGCCUGAGUGCGAUCAAACUCUCCUUUCAGACCUUCUGUCUCUAAUUCCUGCUGGGCCUAAAGCACAGAGAGAAGCAUCAGAAAAUGUUACACAACUAUAUUUCAUUGUGUCAGAUAUGCCUCAUAGCCUUUUAAAAUUAACGAUCUCUUGAUGGCGACCUCAUUAAUGAUGUUGUCAAACUCCUUCUGCAUUUCCUCCUUUAUUUCUUCAAUCUUUUCUGAGGGCACGGAGAGGUCAGUCAUCUCCUCGUCAAACUCCUGCAGCAGGCCGUCAUCUUCAUUCUUCCCUUCCUCGCCCAGCUUCUUCGGUUCCCUAUUGCUUGUUGCUUUCUCUCCUUGAAUUUUAGCUUGGUUUUCUGCUUUCUGGAGAGAGAAAAAAAAUGCUGAAUUAUAUAUAUACCAAGUGCACAAAAAAAGUAUCACACGUAGCAAUCAUGACGAGUAUUUACCUUCCUGUUACUCUCUUUCAGAUGUUGGACAAAUUUCAUCAGGUCCGCCGGGUCAGUGAUGAUUUUAAAGUUGAAUUUUUCAACUGAAAGACAUAAAUUUGCAGAGAAAAGAAGCUAGUACAACAGUGAACGACAACACGUAAGCCGAAAAGUUUGGUAAUAUAUCACUUAGUACCCCAUAUGGACUUAAAACUGUUGAAUUUGCAAAUCAUGAAACUUAACUGCCCAGACAUGAGCGAGUCUAGACUCUAAAGUUCUGUCAAUGUUUUAUAUUAUGUGUGUAUGUUUUAUACAGCCUAUAGUCAUACCUUCCUCACCGUCUUCUAUGACCUCAUUGUCUGUAAUUGAGUUAUAGUCUUCAUCUGGUGCCUGUAGGAGGGAGAGAGCAGGUUAGAGUUCUUAAGUUAGAAGAGAAACUGUAGACCUACUACACCCUCUAGUGUUUGGUGUAACAACAAUUCUUCUGACAUAUAAAACUCCUGUGCCUCAAAUAAUGCGUAUUUUGACAUUUGGAAAGGAUAGCAGUAGCUUAUGUGAUUCAAACUGGUUUCAGGUCACACCUGAUCCUUCUGCUGAGAUGCUGUGGUUUUUGAACUCCCUGGCUUGGUGACUCCCUCCCAGAACUCAGAAUCUUCUCCUUCCUCUGACCCAGCAUCCUCAAAGACAUCAGUGGUUUCUGUUUAAAAAAAAAAAAAAGGCACAGCAUGCAUGAUGAUAUUUGAUUAAGUGCCAUGACAACUUAGUACAAUUCUCUGAAUGCCAUUCUGCUCUUAGGAGUGAACAAUUCACCUUCUUUUUCGGACCCAUUGAAGAUAUCAGUGGCUGAAGGUGAUGUUUCUUCUGUUGUCACUUCCACCGCUCCAUCUGUCCCUUCAUUAGCAGCCAGCAUCUCAUCAAGACUCCUCAGCUCCUCCGAGAUCUGCUCCACUUUACGCUUUGUGUCCGCUGGGACCAAAACAGAAAAAGAAGAAGAAGAAGAAGAAACAUAACACAUUUUCAUUUAUUUUUCUAUUAGACAGAAGAGGUCAUAUCACACAGCUUUUCAAUAAUAUUAUGUACUGUAUUAUUUACUGUCUUUAUAAUCCUAAUAUCACUGCCAUACUUUUAAACUCUAGCAAUAUCAUGUCCUUUCUCAAGAGGAACAACAUUGAAGUAAUGAAGUUUCAUCCUCUCCAAAACUGCGUCAUGGUGACCUUCACUUUUUGUCAACUCACAGACUUGAGCCUUGACGUAGUCCAUGUACUGUUGGGCACUUAGCGCUGGCUGGCAGACAAUCCCUUGCGGCUUGGCAGUGGAUGGUGGCUUUAGGAAUGGAUGCUGGCAGGUGCGACCGGUGUGAACGGUCAGAACGUAGCGGCAUGACUGAGGCUCAUCAACACGGACAAUGUAGUCACUCGCGCCUUCUUCACACACAAACUGGAAACAAACACAGAAAAGUUGUCUCGGUGUGUUCAGGCAGAUGACGUUGGGAAAACAUGGUAUUUACACUGAUUCUGUUUGGAAUAACAAAACAGGAAAACCAGACAAAUCAAAACAGGCAGCACAGAAUACAAACACAUCCUAUGUUCAAAUGUCUCACCCGGACUUCAGUCUCUCUUGGAUUUCCAUUGAGGUCGCACUUUGAGCCGUUCACAUAGGACUGACUGUGGUAGCGCUUCAGUCUGUGCUGCUUGGACGCCUGCAAAAUAAAAAGAACAGAAAUUGAUUGAACAUACUCAGACAAGGAGGCCCAGUUUUAAGUAAGUGGGAAUUUGAUUUAUUUAAAAAAAAAAGAUAUAUCACAUUUUUGUGCAGGUGGAAAAAAAUCUGAUCACAGAAUCUAAUUCACUGUAACAUUUAUAAUUUUGAAGUUCUGAAGAUUGUGUUAGUUUUAUAAUCUGCACGUCAUUAUUAAAGAGUUUCAGGUCAGGUUUGACAAACAUAUUUCAGUGUUCCUCUAAUACUCUGUGUGUGGUUACAGAAGUUAAUUGCUGUAAAUAUUUAUCUAGUGCCUACUUAAGAACACAAUGCAACCAAAGCUUAAUGACUUGUAAAUCUCCAUUAAGUAAAUAUGGCGGUCAUAAUCUGGCCAUGUUUGAAGUCAUGAGCAGUUGACACAACUAACUGGAGUUGAAGAAGACACGGCUGUUGUUUAAAUAAAGCAUUUAUGAGCUUUAGUGCAAAACAUCAUCACUCGUAGUUAAAUCGGGAAAAUCACACAGACCACAAAAAUCCAAACCACUUUACCUUUGCUGUUUCAUUGUUCCAAUCAAAUUCAGAUUCGUAAUAACCUAGGAAGAGUAUGUCUCCUUUGAUCUCGGUGUCUAAAAAGAAGACAACAUGUGUCAAACACAGCUUCUGUGUCAGAGUGAUUGUCAUAAAUACUUCAGGUUAAAAAGCAUGAAGGCACUCUCCCACCUUCAAGGUGGUACUGUCUGAUGUGCUGACCAUGGCAGAAUUCAUAAGUCCACCAGUCCUUCGUCUGCAGGAAGCACCGACAGAAAACAUUAUUGAAACAGUUAUUGUCUAAAACAUUUCAUGGCUAUGUGUAUAAAGUCAAAACAAUAUCACAGGUCAUCCUAAAAUGACCCACUAUCUCAAAAAAACAUUGUAGACAAGUCAUUUUGUUUCUGAACAAGUAAAGCUGACUAUCACUA